rnacentral:rRNA from 1 species
CGGAGGAAGGUGGGGACGACGUCAAGUCAUCAUGGCCCUUACGACCAGGGCUACACACGUGCUACAAUGGCGUAUACAAAGGGAGGCGACCUCGCGAGAGCAAGCGGACCUCAUAAAGUACGUCUAAGUCCGGAUUGGAGUCUGCAACUCGACUCCAUGAAGUCGGAAUCGCUAGUAAUCGUGAAUCAGAAUGUCACGGUGAAUACGUUCCCGGGCCUUGUACACACCGCCCGUCACACCAUGGGAGUGGGUUGCACCAGAAGUAGAUAGCUUAACCGCAAGGGGGGCGUUUACCACGGUGUGGUCCAUGACUGGGGUGAAGUCGUAACAAGGUAACCAAGGGCGAAUUCUG